rnacentral:lncRNA from 1 species
AACACGGGCGGUGCAGCGGAGCCACACGCAUGCCUGUGCAUGGCCACGCCAGGUCGGAAACCCAGCCCCUCUGCUUGGGAGGCACGCAGGGCUCUGGCUGAAGCCUGAAGCUUGGGAUCCUCAGAGCACAGAUGUCCCAGGGUUGUGUGAAGUUAGUGAGACGAGGUGUACGGAGAGAGCUCGGAGAGGAGAGGGAGUCUCGAUUGCUGUGGCUGUGGCUCGGAGAUGCCUGCAAGAGGUGACGGUGAUGUGUCCUACGGGCCUGAUGGAAAGGUGGCAGGCGAAAUGCACCUGGCCUCAGCGUCAGGGGCUGUGAAUGCAGUAGCACUUGUAGCUAUGAGGUCAGAGUGGACUAGGAUGGUCCUUCCACCAAGAAGCCUGGGCCUUCCUGCUCUUCGUUGUCCAGCUGCAGAAACUGAUCUCAUCCCUCAGGGCUUGGCACAACUGCCCCUUCCUCCUCACAUUCCCAAAUAUACCUACCCCUCCCCAACUCAAUCCUCCUCACCAGACUGUGGCUCCAGGAUGACAGGGCAGAGUUGGACUCACCUGUGUCUGCCAGGCCAGCUCACCGUGGGGGCAGGUCCCAAGAGGCCUCUGGAUUUGGACCAACUUCCAGUGUGACCUUGAACAAGGCCUUCGCCUCCCUCAGCCUCCGUUGCAUGAGGGGUUGUGCUGGCACAUCUCAGAGCAGGUAGCGCUACCUGGUGAGUUGAGGGCUCUGUCCAUCAUCUUUGUCACUGUAAUGCUGGGUAACAAAUAAACACGAAACAAUGA